GGCUAGGGAGCGCCUGCCAGAGGACCCUAGAACCUAAAUGUUAGUGUCGUCUGAGUACUAUAUAAUAGUGAAAACUUUCGACAACGGAUCUCUUGGUUCUGGCAUCGAUGAAGAACGCAGCGAAAUGCGAUAAGUAAUGUGAAUUGCAGAAUUCAGUGAAUCAUCGAAUCUUUGAACGCACAUUGCGCCCCUUGGUAUUCCAUGGGGCAUGCCUGUUCGAGCGUCAUUUGUAUCUUCAAGCUCUGCUUGGUGUUGGGUGUUUGUCCCGCUUUGUGCGUGGACUCGCCUUAAAGCAAUUGGCAGCCGGCGUACUAGUCUGGGAGCGCAGCACAAUUUGCGCCUCUGAACCUGAACGCUCGCGUCCAUGAAGUCUAUACUUUUGCUUUUGACCUCGGAUCAGGUAG
rnacentral:rRNA from 1 species